rnacentral:rRNA from 1 species
GAUGAACGCUAGCGAUAGGCUUAACACAUGCAAGUCGAGGGGCAGCACAUGAGUGGCAACACGAUGGUGGCGACCGGCGCACGGGUGAGUAACACGUAUGCAACCUGCCCAUAACUGGGGGAUAACCCGUCGAAAGGCGGACUAAUACCGCAUGACAACGAUGAUCCGCAUGGUGAUUCGUUUAAAGAUUUAUCGGUUAUGGAUGGGCAUGCGUUCCAUUAGGUAGUUGGCAGGGUAACGGCCUACCAAGCCUACGAUGGAUAGGGGUUCUGAGAGGAAGGUCCCCCACACUGGUACUGGGACACGGACCAGACUCCUACGGGAGGCAGCAGUGAGGAAUAUUGGUCAAUGGGCGAGAGCCUGAACCAGCCAAAUCGCGUGAAGGAUGAAGGUAUUAUGUAUUGUAAACUUCUUUUGUCGGGGAAUAAAGUGCAGCACGUGUGCUGUUUUGUAUGUACCCGAAGAAUAAGGAUCGGCUAACUCCGUGCCAGCCGCCGCAGUAAAAC